rnacentral:rRNA from 1 species
GACGAACGCUGGCGGCGUGCCUAACACAUGCAAGUCGAACGGAACUGCUUCGAAGGAUCUCUUCGGAAUGACAUUGAUUCAGUUUAGUGGCGGACGGGUGAGUAACGCGUGAGUAACCUGCCUUCAAGAGGGGGAUAACAUUCUGAAAAGAAUGCUAAUACCGCAUGACAUAUGAUUGUCGCAUGGCAGAUAUAUCAAAGAUUUAUCGCUUGAAGAUGGACUCGCGUCCGAUUAGUUAGUUGGUGAGGUAACGGCCCACCAAGACCGCGAUCGGUAGCCGGACUGAGAGGUUGAACGGCCACAUUGGGACUGAGACACGGCCCAGACUCCUACGGGAGGCAGCAGUGGGGGAUAUUGCGCAAUGGGGGCAACCCGUGACGCAGCAACGCCGCGUGAAGGAUGAAGGUUUUCGGAUUGUAAACUUCUUUUAUUAAGGACGAAUAAUGACGGUACUUAAUGAAUAAGCUCGGCUAACUACGUGCCAGCAGCCG